AAGGAAACAGAUACUCAAGACCUAACAGUAUUCUAUCCAAGAUGCCACAAGAAACGUGAUAAAGAGCCUGUUUAUUUGAAUGUGACUACACAGAAACUAGCCACAGAAACUCCAUAAAUGGAAAGUCGAAAAUAGUUAUAUGU